AUUGAACGCUGGCGGAAUGCUUUACACAUGCAAGUCGAACGGCAGCACGGACUUCGGUCUGGUGGCGAGUGGCGAACGGGUGAGUAAUGUAUCGGAACGUGCCCAGUCGUGGGGGAUAACGUAGUGAAAAUUACGCUAAUACCGCAUACGAUCUAUGGAUGAAAGCGGGGGAUAGCAAGACCUCGCGCGAUUGGAGCGGCCGAUAUCAGAUUAGGUAGUUGGUGGGGUAAAGGCCCACCAAGCCAACGAUCUGUAGCUGGUCUGAGAGGACGACCAGCCACACUGGGACUGAGACACGGUCCAGACUCCUACGGGAGGCAGCAGUGGGGAAUUUUGGACAAUGGGCGAAAGCCUGAUCCAGCCAUUCCGCGUGCAGGAUGAAGGCCCUCGGGUUGUAAACUGCUUUUGUACAGAACGAAAAGGUUUCUACUAAUACUAGGAGCUCAUGACGGUACUGUAAGAAUAAGCACCGGCUAGCUACGUGCCAGCCGCCGCAGUAA
rnacentral:rRNA from 1 species